UAGCUAUAAGUUUGCUCGGAUUGGAUCACAUCACCUUUGGCUGCUCUAUUUUCACCUUGAAUGUUUUGAUGAGAAUCCUAGAGCAGUAUUGAGUCAAAUUGAAGAGAAUAAGAUCAUUCAGAUGGAAGUUAGAUUUGAAGAUUGUGACAACCCAUGCUUAGAGGUUAAGAAAUGUGGAUUUCGAAUGGUAUACGAGCAAGACAUUGAAGAUAUCAGAGAAAUGAUGGCUCCCCACAGCAAAAGCUGCAGCAUCAGUCCUUACGAGGGUUUAGAUGCUCAACAUGAUUUUGACAAUUCAAUGGUGGUAAAAGAAGGUAGCAAAAUUAAGCGAAGCCAUGAUAACUACAAUGGGGCUGGGCCUAGUGGUGAAGGUAGCUCAAUGAUGUACCACACUCAAAGAGGAUUCAAAGAUAAAAGGAUAUUUGGCUCAUUGUAGGUCUGGGAGUUUACCAAUUAUUUUGCUCCAAGGAUUGGUACAAAGUUGGGAACGAGCUUAGAAAUGGUCUCUCACAGUGCUACUAAAAGCUUAGUUGAUGGGUGUUAACUUCCUAUUGGGCUUGUGGUAACCUUAAUUUCUUUGGUCACAGAAAGUAGGCCCUGAUGCAAAUGAAUCUUCCAUUCUUCCUUGUCCACAAGAUUGAUUAUAGGACACCAAUGAUAUGCUUUUGUUGGACAGCUUUCGAGGAUUGAAAGAUAGAGAAUGUAUAGCUCAUGGUAAGUUGGUAACUCUUAUUGCAAGGAUUCUAAUGAUGGUGGCCUGGGAUUGAAAGUUAAUGCAAAUCAACCAUUGUAUUUUUUUUGUUGAGUAUAUCGGCCUCAUUCCCUUCAUACAUGCACUCACCAGUCGCCAACGGUUUCUCACUCUUCAAUCUCUCAUUCAUGGUCAGUGGCUCCUCACAUGGUCGCUAGCAGUGUUGUCUCUACCUAAAUCAAAACAUAAGAGCAGUGGCAGAACCACUGUCCUUUAAAGGUGUUUUUUUUUUUUUUUUUUU